AUGAACGCUAGCGACAGGCCUAACACAUGCAAGUCAGGGGCAGCACAAGGAGCAAUCUGAGGUGGCGACCGGCGCACGGGUGAGUAACACGUAUGCAACCUGCCUGUAAGCGGGGAAUAACCCGUUGAAAGACGGACUAAUACCGCAUAAUACUAAAUUACUGCAUGGUAAUUUAUUUAAACAUUUAUGGCUUACAGAUGGGCAUGCGCAUGAUUAGCUAGUUGGAGAGGUAACGGCUCCCCAAGGCAACGAUCAUUAGGGGUUCUGAGAGGAAGGUCCCCACACUGGUACUGAGACACGGACCAGACUCCUACGGGAGGCAGCAGUGAGGAAUAUUGGUCAAUGGACGAGAGUCUGAACCAGCCAAGUCGCGUGCAGGAAGAAUGUCCUAUGGAUUGUAAACUGCUUUUGCAGGGGAAUAAAGUGCAUCACGUGUGAUGUUUUGUAUGUACUCUGCGAAUAAGGAUCGGCUAACUCCGUGCCAGCAGCUGC
rnacentral:rRNA from 1 species